CAGUAGCACUAACCACCACACCACUGUGUCUCGGACAUUGAUCGUUCUAAUCUUAAAUCAAUAGCGCAGGUUAUGUAAUCAAACAGCUGCCAAAAAUCAAGGUUGUAUUGUUAAAAGAACAGUAUAAAAAGAACGUGCAAAACAACAGAGAGAGAGAGAAGAGAAAAGAACUGAACUGACUGAAGUAGACAUUUCAGAGUGUUGACAAUGAAGCUGUGUUUGUGUACGCUGCUGUUGCUGUGUGCUCUGACUGACACAGGAUACUCAGAAAUACUGACAGAGUUAUCUAUGCGGAAGAUUGUACAAGAAUUUGUCGAUUUGACUAAACCCUUGAAAGAUGGGAGAAACUUGCAGUUCUCAUUCCUCAUAGCUCUAACCCCCAGAGAGUGUCAAACUGGUGACGU